rnacentral:misc_RNA from 1 species
GAUGAAGAACGUAGCGAAAUGCGAUAAGUAAUGUGAAUUGCAGAAUUCAGUGAAUCAUCGAAUCUUUGAACGCACAUUGCGCCCGCCAGCAUUCUGGCGGGCAUGCCUGUUCGAGCGUCAUUUCAACCCUCGAGCCCCCCCGGGGGCCUCGGUGUUGGGGGACGGCACACCAGCCGCCCCCGAAAUGCAGUGGCGACCCCGCCGCAGCCUCCCCUGCGUAGUAGCACACACCUCGCACCGGAGCGCGGAGCCGGUCACGCCGUAAAACGCCCAACUUUCUUAGAGUUGACCUCGGAUCAGGUAGGAAUACCCGCUGAACUUAAGCAUAUCAAUAAGCGGAGGA